ACUACGGGUGGCAGCAGUGGGGAAUAUUGCACAAUGGGGGAAACCCUGAUGCAGCGACGCCGCGUGAGCGAUGAAGUAUUUCGGUAUGUAAAGCUCUAUCAGCAGGGAAGAAAAUGACGGUACCUGACUAAGAAGCCCCGGCUAACUACGUGCCAGCAGCCGCGGUAAUACGGAGGGGGCAAGCGUUAUCCGGAUUUACUGGGUGUAAAGGGAGCGUAGACGGCUGGGCAAGCAAGAGGUGAAACCCCGGGGCUCAACCCCGGGACUGCAUGUGGAACUGUGUGGCUGGAGUGUCGGAGAGGCAGGCGGAAUUCCUGGUGUAGCGGUGAAAUGCGUAGAGAUUAGGAGGAACACC
rnacentral:rRNA from 1 species